UACGUAGGUGGCAAGCGUUACUCGGAAUCACUAGGCGUAAAGCGCAGGUAGGCGGUUUGGAAAGUUCGUUGUGAAAGCUCCCGGCUUAACUGGGAGAGGUCAACGGAAACUACCAGGCUAGAGUGUGGUAGAGGUAGCUGGAAUUCCCGGUGUAGCGGUGAAAUGCGUAGAUAUCGGGAGGAAUACCUAUGGCGAAAGCAGGCUACUGGACCAUCACUGACGCUGAUCUGCGAAAGCUAGGGGAGCAAACAGG
rnacentral:rRNA from 1 species